rnacentral:rRNA from 1 species
GACAGAGGUGCCGAGCGUUAGGCGGAAUCACUGGGCUUAAAGCGUGUGUAGGCGGGCCGUUGAGUAUCUUGUGAAAUCCCCCGGCUCAACCGGGGAAUGGCUGGAUAUACUGGCGGUCUUGAGCCAUCCAGGGGCAGUCGGAACAGACGGUGGAGCGGUGAAAUGCGUAGAUAUCGUCUGGAACGCCGAAGGUGAAAACAGACUGCUGGGGAUGAGCUGACGCUGAGACACGAAAGCCAGGGGAGCGAACGGG